GCGCAACCAAGAUAGGCAAAGGGAGGUAAUAAUAAUUUUUCAAACUUGCGUUUCUAAUGAAUUCCAUCUAAAUACAUAAUUUUUAAUGCAAAUAUUUUACAAAUAUAUUACAAUAUGUCUAAUAUUUAUACAUUUCCUUAGGCAAAGUAUGUUUAUCAAAUUUAUACUUAUGAUAAAAUAACACUAUCUUGGUUGGGCAACCAGGAUAGGAAAAUGAAAUUUUAAAAAUACCUCCAGUGAAAAUCUAAUUUGUAUUAAGUGUUAAGUGAACAUAAAUGAGUGUAAAUGAUCAGAUGCUAAAGUUUCGAACAAAUCCGUUACAUGGCCAAAAUCCGAUUAUCCACCUUUAACCCAGUAAACACCUGACGUCGUACCGACGUUGGUUAGACGUUGGAUUUUGGUCGCGACGUCGGCGACCUGAAUCCAACGUCUAACCAACGUCAUAUCCACGACGUCUAAUAGACGUCAGACUUAGACGUCUAAAAGACGUUGGAAUUAGGUUGGAUAGAAAGUCUGAUAAAUGUUUUUAGUUAUAAAACUAACUGGUAUAAUUUUGCUAGUAUAGUUUAAAGAUAUUUACUUCUUUUCAUAAAGGCCUGGACAUGCGCUUAUUAAUAAUAGUUCAUUCUCACAACAAACAUUAUAUUAAUUAUGUUACAAUAUCGUAUGAGAUUGUCUAUUUUCGGAGACGGAUUUUUUCACGAACUUUAAACUGUUCAAGAUAAAAAUGCAUUCUAUACACAUGUAUACAUUAUUCUAAAUUCACAUAGAUCUUCUCUUCUACACAUGUUGUCUAUUAGUCACACAUUCGCGAGAUAAGCCUGCAUCGGUUUACACAGUCUUCCUGUAAUUUGAUAUUUAUUGGGAUAAGAUAGAGCAAGUUUAUAAAUACUUUACACAAAGGGAAGGAUCCGCAACGUGGAAAUGUUGGCGGAGUUGAAGAAUCAUACAAAAAUGACGAAACUUGAAAGUUUCAAUUACUGCAUUACUUUUUGGACUUAUUGUAUUAGACUUACGUCGCCAUAAUAUGAAAUAAAGAUGAUAAAAUACA